rnacentral:lncRNA from 1 species
CGCCAAUCCCCCUCUGGUGCAGUGACGAGUUUGUGGAGGUGGUCUGUGUUGGGUCCGUGGCUGAGCUGGAGGAGUUAACGGAAGUGAAAGCGACUGAUCUGCAACGUGAGAGGACCUGAGCCCUAGGACCAUGCCUCAGGACUACCUGGUAUGAUGACUCCUUGCUGUCCCCAGUCCACCUGGCCGUGCUGCUGCUCCAGUUUCAACUGUUCUGCCUGCGGCUAUGGAACCCUGACCUGUUCACCGGACGUGCUUGUUGCACCCUCGACAACUACUAUGAUUAUUAUUAUUUGACCAUGCUGGUCAUUUAUGAACAUUUUAACAUUUUAACAUUUU